UACAGAGGGGGCAAGCGUUGUUCGGAAUUACUGGGCGUAAAGGGCGCGUAGGCGGCCUUCUAAGUCGAACGUGAAAUCCCCGGGCUCAACCCGGGAACUGCGUCCGAUACUGGAAGGCUUGAAUCCGGGAGAGGGAUGCGGAAUUCCAGGUGUAGCGGUGAAAUGGCGUAGAUAUCUGGAGGAACACCGGUGGCGAAGGCGGCAUCCUGGACCGGCAUUGACGCUGAGGCGCGAAAGCCAGGGGAGCAAACGGG
rnacentral:rRNA from 1 species